rnacentral:lncRNA from 7 species
CGCUACAUCCCAUCAGACUAAUUCACUGAAUGACAGCCUGGAUUACCAACCUUCCCCAGCUACGAUGCAAGUGAUGUAGAUUGACAAGAAAAAGAAAACAUCGAUUAGGAGGACACAUCCUAAAUAUUUAGGCCUUGAAAUAUGAUCUCCUAGCCAUUUUAAUCUUGAACUAAGCGGUCCUCAAGGUCAGUGCCACAUCCCACAAGCUUUU